rnacentral:rRNA from 1 species
GUGGGGAAUUUUGGACAAUGGGCGCAAGCCUGAUCCAGCAAUGCCGCGUGCAGGAAGAAGGCCUUCGGGUUGUAAACUGCUUUUGUACGGAACGAAACGGUCCUGGUUAAUACCUGGGGCUAAUGACGGUACCGUAAGAAUAAGCACCGGCUAACUACGUGCCAGCAGCCGCGGUAAUACGUAGGGUGCGAGCGUUAAUCGGAAUUACUGGGCGUAAAGCGUGCGCAGGCUGUGCUGUAAGACAGGCGUGAAAUCCCCGGGCUCAACCUGGGAAUUGCGCUUGUGACUGCAGUGCUGGAGUACGGCAGAGGGGGAUGGAAUUCCGCGGGUAGCAGUGAAAUGCGUAGAUAUGCGGAGGAACACCGAUGGCGAAGGCAGUCCCCUGGGCCUGUACUGACGCUCAUGCACGAAAGCGUGGGGAGCAAACAGGAUUAGAUACCCUUGUAGUCC